GAUGAACGCUGGCGGCGUGCCUAAUACAUGCAAGUCGAGCGAACAGACGAGGAGCUUGCUCCUCUGACGUUAGCGGCGGACGGGUGAGUAACACGUGGAUAACCUACCUAUAAGACUGGGAUAACUUCGGGAAGCCGGAGCUAAUACCGGAUAAUAUAUUGAACCGCAUGGUUCAAUAGUGAAAGACGGUUUUGCUGUCACUUAUAGAUGGAUCCGCGCCGCAUUAGAUAGUUGGUAGGGUAACGGCUUAUCAAGGCAACGAUGCGUAGCCGACCUGAGAGGGUGAUCGGCCACACUGGAACUGAGACACGGUCAAGACUCCUACGAGAGGCAGCAGUAGGGAAUCUUCCGCAAUGGGCGAAAGCCUGACGGAGCAACGCCGCGUGAAUGAUGAAGGUCUUCGGAUCGUAAAACUCUGUUAUUAGGGAAGAACAAAUGUGUAAGUAACUAUGCACGUCUUGACGGUAACUAAUCAGAAAGCCACGGCUAACUACGUG
rnacentral:rRNA from 1 species